rnacentral:lncRNA from 1 species
CAAGCAGUCUAUCAGUUUUGACUGCUGGAAUAUAAACGACUGCAAUAAUGUACCGUAAAUCUAUACGGAUGCUCUUUGACUGCUUGUCGAAGUCCUUUUUGCCCCAGUCGGUAGGUCUCUAGACGUUACAGAGAACCCCGAACAACCCAAAUUGUUAAUCUUCAAUACCGCUUUGUACUUACGAUCUUGUAUCCACUGACUGUCUUGUUAGAUUAACCCAAUAAAUUUCAUUCACUCUGCAUACUCAAUCCUAUAGACACCCUUUUAAUCCUUCAAUCACAGACGUAACUCGAUUUCAUAAAACAGUCAAGAGUAUUCAAACCCACUUCAUUAAAAAUCCCGAUUCACCAUUACAAUACUAACUUCAGCAACGAUUACCUCAGUCUUCCCAAAACUCUAC